ACGCGCUUGUCCCCAGAACUCAAACCCCAGAGUCCCUCCGGUAGGUGGUACAGAGGCGAGUUUGAUCCUAAACAAAACAGGGCAGGGUCUUCCUGUUUGUUUUCUUCCUCCAGCGGGGAGCAACAGCUGCUAAUUGGAUAAACCCCUGCCAAUCUGAGGACGGGGCCACCCCACAGACGCCGUGGCUCAGCAAGCAGACCAAUGGCCGAGGAGUCUGGCAAGGGGCGCUUGGCAGAUGAGAGUGGAGGUUGUAAAUCACCCUCCAUGCAAUGGUUCAUCAUAAAGGAUAUGGAGCAAAAUUAGAGGAGGCACGAGAAGGAAAGCCGGUGAUGAACAAGGCUAUUGCUUAAAGACUGAAUGACAUGGACCCCAGAGUUUAUGUGAGUUACUGUAAAAAUCAGGGCUUCACUCCCAACUGAGAGCCUUGCAGAGUGAGGAGUUUCUCUAGAGACCAUCUGAUAAAUGCGGGCUCCCACACGCAGAGAUGUGAGCUAGAGCCGUGCAGCAAAUAAUAUAUAUUAUUUUCUUCUCCGCUUAAGGUCCAAAUUGUCUGGUGUAACAUCUUUGGUGACCAUUCCAUUUGGGAAUCCUAGCUUACUGGAUGGAGCUGUGUGCGUUGUGAGGUUGGCCCUUGUUGUGCCUGAGCUUAGAAGAAGGAAUAGCAGGGGUAGUAAUCAUUAUGAUAAGCACUUCUUGAGCACUCACUACAUGUCAGGCACCAUUCUGAGCAUAUCACAUGCACGGGUUCUUUUAAUGUGCAUAACAACCCCACAGGAUUAGUAGGUGCCAUUUACAUCCCCAUUUUACAGAUAAGAAAACCAGGGCACAGGGUCUCAGAGUUAGCAGGUGGCAUUGCUGAGAUUGGAAAUCAGAUAGUUUGGCUCCAGAGCUCCUGCUCUUUAGCACUGUGGAGGUGACUUGAGAGAUGCCCUAAGUUCCAGCCCAACCACAGAUACCACCCCCAUUGGCCAUAGUACAUGACUAAAUGUGACAAUUACUUAUUCAGCAUUUAUUAAAAGCACAGUAUUGUCCUAAGCACUUUACAUGUAGUAUCCCAGUGCAUCUCCUUAUCAACUCUUUUAGAUAGGUACUGUUAUUCUUCAUCUUUUACAGAGGAACAAAUUGAGGCUCAAAUCAAUAAGUAACUUGGUAAGAGUCUCCCACUUAAAACAUUGGUAAAGUUGAAAUCCAAAUCUAAGCAUCCAACCCCAGAGCCCAAGCUCUCAACUAACCCUGGUCACUUUUUUGAGUAAGGACUUUGUAUCUCUCAAAUGCCCCCUAUUAAAAUGAACCUCAGCCAUGUGGGAGCAGUGUGAUAUUUUUUUUCCUGCCCCUAAAGCAUGUUGAAGAUUUGGGGACAAGUUUUAUUGAAACUCCCCAAGGCACUAGCUUUCACCCUUGGUGGUAAUUUUCUAGUGACUGCAGAUGCCUCAUUAAACGAGUUCAGGCACACUGAUCUCCUUAAUUCAGUUUCUUCCAACUCCCAUCUUCAUUCUGCCCUUGUCUUUGAACUCCUCAUGCUUUGUCUCAGUGAUCUCCUCCACUACCAGCUGUUAACAUCUUCUGUAUUGGGAUGAAUCCCUGACACACAACUUCAGCCCAGACCUGGCUCCAAAUCUCUAUGUCCUUCAUUCCACCUGCUCCAAGACCUAGGCACCUGGAUUUUCCCUAGUGUAGCUGAGGCUGGCGUGCCCCACCCAGAUCCCACGGGGUCUUUUUUCUACCCCCAUUUCCAAGCCACUGCCUGCAUUGCUGCAGGUAAAGGCUCACAUCUGCAGCCUUCUCCUGAGGCUUGCCCUUGAGGAAUGGGAGCAGCCUCACCCAGACUCGUACUCCCCACCUUCACCUGACCUCAGAUACUGAUAGUGUCUGUUCCAAGAAUCUAGUGCAACUUCCUUAGACUAGCAAUCAAUACCUCCUGCACCUGGCAAUAACCUCGCUGUCAAAUCUUCACUCCUGCUCAGCUGCAGAGCAGCUCCUCGGCCCUUAAGAGUUCCUCUGCCUUCUGGCCUUCUUGCCUUUGCUCACUCUGCUUCUGUUUGGAAUGUCAUCCGCCCUGCUUCCAACUGUCAAAAUUCUACACAUCCUCUGAAGGCUAGUGACACUGCGCUUCUGCCCAUGAGGCAUUCCCAAAUUGUGCUUGCCCUUGCAAUGUGGGUUAUUGCUAGUUAUGCAUGGGUCUCUAGUCAGCAUGGUUUGUAUUAUAAAAGGUCAAGAAUGAAUCUGAUUCUCUCACCUAUCUCUAGUUAAGGGUUCAAAUGUGUACCCACCAAAGGGUACUGAAGUCUUAACCUUCAGUA
rnacentral:lncRNA from 1 species